GGUGAAGCAACAGGGGCUCCCCGCA
rnacentral:piRNA from 1 species